rnacentral:tmRNA from 1 species
GGGGCUGAUCGGUUUCGACGUAGCGGUAGUUUCGUCGGAUCGUGCGACCGGAGUUGCUCAGACUCCAAAACGGGGCACACAAAGACACGGCAACUCUCGUGUCGCUCUCGCCGCCUGAUCUGAUUAGGCGAUAGAGAGUCAUUGGGACCAGCAAUGAUUCCCGGGGCCUGAUCACUACAGCCUGGCAACAGAAGUAGUGGUGGACAGCAGGGAAAGACCGCUGACGGCGUGAAAGACCGCUGACAUCGGAGAAAGAUCCGGCGGUGUGGGUUGUCGAGACCCACUCUGACCCGGCAGUGUGGUGACCGUAAGCCACAAACUCGGGAAUGGUCGUAGCGCGGACGAUGAACCCGAAGCGGACGGGGGUUCGAUUCCCCCCAGCUCCACCA